UGAUUGAAGAGUUUGAUCAUGGCUCAGAUUGAACGUUGGCGGCAGGUUUCAUACAUGCAAGUCGAACGGGGAGGACUCCUUCGGGAGUACCAACCCAGUGGCGGACGGGUGAGUAACGCGUAGGAAUCUACCUAGUAGUGGGGAAUAACGCCAGGAGACUGGCGCUAAUACCGCAUACGACCUAAGGGUGAAAGCGGGGGAUCUUCGGACCUCGCGCU
rnacentral:rRNA from 1 species